rnacentral:tRNA from 1 species
GGCCAGGUAGCUCAGUUGGUAGAGCGUCCGCCUGAAAAGCGGAAGGUCGCCGGUUCGACCCCGGCCCUGGCCA